UCUCUCUCUCUCUCUCUCUCUCUCUCUCGUUCGCGACCGAAGAAGCGAAAGGCGACGAUUCAACCGAUCGUCUCAUUCCGGUUGAAUCUGCCGGAGUGAAUCAACUCCGGACGUCGUUCUCGGUAGCUGAUCAACUCCAGAGAUUGGUUUGGUGUGCGGCGGGUUGGGUUUCUUAACUCGUUGACGAAGAAGAAUUGGGAUCGGGUAGAAGUUUCCAAUCGAAUCUUGCUCAAGUUCAUGCGUUAGAAAUCAGAGGCUUGGGAGCACAAAUCGGCAAUAGAAGCUUCACGUGACUAUGGCAAAGAAGAAGAAAACAAAGAAGUCUGAAGUUGGUGGGGAGAGUGAAAACUUCACCCGUUCACGGACAUACAUGGCACAGUUUCAUCAUUACCAACCAACUCUCUUCACGGACACAACAGAGAAGUCUGAAGUUUGUAUAUAAAUUUGUCAAGUCAUUUGAACUUCUCAUCGCAUUCAAUAUCUCUUUGUAUUGCAUUCGCUUUCUCUUUGACAACAAUUGUAUUUCAUUCACUUUGUAUUUCACAAACAUUAUAUUCA